AGAACGAACGCUGGCGGCAUGCCUAAUACAUGCAAGUCGAACGAACUCUUCGGAGUUAGUGGCGCGCGGGUGCGUAACGCGUGGGAAUCUGCCCCUUGGUUCGGAAUAACAGUUGGAAACGACUGCUAAUACCGGAUGAUGUCGAAAGUCCAAAGAUUUAUCGCCAAGGGAUGAGCCCGCGUAGGAUUAGCUAGUUGGUGAGGUAAAGGCUCGCCAAGGCAACGAUCCUUAGCUGGUCUGAGAGGAUGAUCGAGCCACACUGGACUGAGACACGGCCCAGACUCCGUACGGGAGCAGCAGUAGGGAAUAGUGGACAAGUGGGAC
rnacentral:rRNA from 1 species